UCCAGGCUUUCCCCAGUCCAGGCAGAACCCUCAGAGAGGCAGCUAUGGUGUAGAGAAAGGAGCACUGGACUUGGAGUCAGAAGACCUGAG
rnacentral:miRNA from 1 species